rnacentral:rRNA from 1 species
GACGAACGCUGGCGGCGCGCCUAACACAUGCAAGUCGAACGAGCGAGAGAGAGCUUGCUUUCUCAAGCGAGUGGCGAACGGGUGAGUAACGCGUGAGGAACCUGCCUCAAAGAGGGGGACAACAGUUGGAAACGACUGCUAAUACCGCAUAAGCCCACGGCUCGGCAUCGAGCAGAGGGAAAAGGAGUGAUCCGCUUUGAGAUGGCCUCGCGUCCGAUUAGCUAGUUGGUGAGGUAACGGCCCACCAAGGCGACGAUCGGUAGCCGGACUGAGAGGUUGAACGGCCACAUUGGGACUGAGACACGGCCCAGACUCCUACGGGAGGCAGCAGUGGGGAAUAUUGCACAAUGGGGGAAACCCUGAUGCAGCGACGCCGCGUGGAGGAAGAAGGUCUUCGGAUUGUAAACUCCUGUUGUUGAGGAAGAUAAUGACGGUACUCAACAAGGAAGUGACGGCUAACUACGUGCCAGCAGCCGCCGUAA